rnacentral:rRNA from 1 species
GUACGCUCUUUCAGACGGAAAGAAAUCUUCUGGGUUAUACCCUGGGAGGAUGACGGUACCGUAAGAAGAAGCACCGGCUAACUACGUGCCAGCAGCCGCGGUAAUACGUAGGGUGCGAGCGUUAAUCGGAAUUACUGGGCGUAAAGCGUGCGCAGGCGGUUAUGUAAGACAGAUGUGAAAUCCCCGGGCUCAACCUGGGAACUGCGUUUGUGACUGCAUAACUAGAGUACGGCAGAGGGAGGUGGAAUUCCGCGUGUAGCAGUGAAAUGCGUAGAUAUGCGGAGGAACACCGAUGGCGAAGGCAGCCUCCUGGGCCAGUACUGACGCUCAUGCACGAAAGCGUGGGGAGCAAACAGGAUUAGAUACCCUGGUAGUCCACGCCCUAAACGAUGUCAACUAGUUGUUCGGUGAGGAGACUCAUUGAGUAACGCAGCUAACGCGUGAAGUUGACCGCCUGGGGAGUACGGACGCAAGGUUAAAACUCAAAGGAAUUGACGGGGACCCGCACAAGCGGUGGAUGAUGUGGAUU